rnacentral:rRNA from 1 species
AACGAACGCUGGCGGCAUGCCUAACACAUGCAAGUCGAACGAGACCUUCGGGUCUAGUGGCGCACGGGUGCGUAACGCGGGGGAACCUGCCCUUAGGUUCCGAAUAACUCCCCGAAAGGGGUGCUAAGACCGGAUAAUGUCUUCGGACCAAAGAUUUAUCGCCUUUGGAUGGGCCCGCGUUGGAUUAGCUAGUUGGUAGGGUAAAAGCCUACCAAGGAGACGAUCCAUAGCUGGUCUGAGAGGAUGAUAAGUCAGGCUGGGACUGAGACACGGCCCAGACUGCGACGGAAGGGAGCAGUGGAGAAUACUGGAGGCUGGGCGAAAGCGUGGUAAAGCAAUGCCGCGUGAGUGAUGAAGGCGUUAGGGUUGUAAAGCCCUUUUACACGGGAUGAUAAUGACAGUACCGGGAGAAGAAGCACCGGCUAACUACGUG